UUGGUUAUAUAAAAGAAGCUUUAGAAAAAAAAAUAGUUGUUUGUUAUAAUAUUUGAUAUGUUGUGUAUAAACAAGCCAUUUAGACAUUUGCGUUGUGUUUGGUUGAUAUUUAUAUAUUUAUAAGAUGUAAUAGAUAAAUAUGUAUUUUUUUCAUUUGUUGAUUUGUUGUAAUAAAUUACUUAGGUCCUGUUUGUUUACCUUUUAAUUGUAAAAUUAAGAGGCAAUGUCUUAAAUUUUCAGAUUCAGAUUGUUUGUUUGCAUAUGAUUUUUUACAUCUUAAAAUUAUAAAUGCCUCUUAUUUUUUCAGAUAUCGAACAAAGUUUGAAAAAUAAAAAAAGAGACGCGUUCCUUAUUUGCCCUAAACAAGAUCGACCGCCUCCUAUUCUUUUCUUCCCUUCGUGUUUGCUUCUUCGCGUCUGUUUCUCUACACCUUCCGACGACGCCGCUGAAACGACGCCCGCCCACCCAAAACGUUGAUGACGCUGCUCCUAACAACGUCGCAACCGCAAGUUCUUCUGUCUCCAACUCGUUCUUCCGCUGACGCAACAGUUGAGCAUAAAGCUAUUGCUGACAAGUGAUAUGAUACCAGUAAUUCCAACUCUGAAGUCCUCUGCAAAGGUUCUGAUUCCAGCUAAAACAAAAGGAACCACCAUCAUUGAUAUGGGCUAUAAUUUCAAAUCUAGUUCAUCGGAGAUUAUAUCUCCAGUUCAUUAAUUGGGCAUGUCUCUAUGCCUUUUUGCGUGCUCUGUUUCCAGUUCAUGAGUUACCACUCUCCUUGAUACAACUUGUAAACUACUUUCAAGAAUAACUAUUAAGGGUUUUUCUUUCAAGAAUGUGUUUAUACUUGUCAUGAUAUGUAAGAAAUAGCAAUGUACUUUUAUUGAUUUCUUUAUUAUAAAGUCAAACUUUCACCUCUU